GGAAAACACCAGGAUGGGAGCUGGUUGCCAAUGGAGCCAACCAUGUGAGGGGCCGGAGAUUGAAUCAGCUGCCAAUCAAUGUCAAUGAUGCAAUCAAAUGUGGCUAUAUAAUGAAGCUUCCAUGAAAACCCAAGAGAAAGAGGUUCAGAGAGCUUCCAGGUUCGUCCUCAAUGUCUUCCUGAUACCAAUCACAAACUUGCCACAUUACUUCUAAGGGGAAAAAAAAUCAAUGAAUUCUACCACUGUCAUGAAAUGGAGGGUGAUGGAAUCUCAAAUCAAUAUUCAAAGAGAAUGAAGAAAGUCAUACAGCAGGUGCACAAGUCUGAGGCUUUCAAUAAAAGAAACAGUAAUGAUCAAUGAAUGGAAUGACAUGGGUGUCGUCAAACUUUGGAACAAACCUAUGAACACAUGAAUGCAUGACAUAAAAGGUAAGAAGAGAUUUAAAAAGUUCUCUAGCUGUGCCUUGUAUAUCUCCCACAUUUCCUUAGGAAGAUUACUGUUCACCAGGGUCUAUAUUCUGGACCAGAAAAAUGGAAGAAGAAGAUACAUCAAAGACAUUUCUUCACACUUAACAUCCAAGAAAUAUUUACUGACUUCAAGGAAUACAUGUGCUUCCUCCAUGUAUACAAAGUAAAUUGUGUAACAUGUUUUUAGUCUUCUGUGAUGGUUUCUAUUAUCACCACAGAAAAGUAUCCAAAUCAGUUCUGGAUCCUGUUGCUUAUUUGGCUAUAUUCUAAUUAUUAGCACUUUGACAAGCAGAUAUACCUUUCUGCCUGAUAGUUACUCUGAAUCAUUUACUCUGUCUCCCAGUCCAAGCACAUAUCUGGCCACCACAAUGUGUCUACAUACCAGUAUAUUAUUCUCUACUUCCAGAAAUUUCCUGGAUAACAGGAAGGGAAAUAACAAGCUCACCUGCGACUUAGUCAUUUCAGCAGCU